rnacentral:rRNA from 1 species
GACGAAGGAUGCAAGCGUUAUCCGGAUUCAUUGGGUUUAAAGGGAGCGUAGGUGGUCUUAUAAGUCAGUGCUGAAAUAUCCCGGCUUAACCGGGAGGGUGGCAUUGAUACUGUAGGACUUGAGUAAAGUUGAGGUUGGCGGAAUUGACGGUGUAGCGGUGAAAUGCUUAGAUAUCGUCAAGAACACCGAUAGUGUAGACAGCUAACUAAGCUUUAACUGACGCUGAGGCACGAAAGUGUGGGGAUCAAACAGG